AUGGUUAAGUUAGAAAGGGCGCACGGUGAAUGCCUUGGCACUAGGAGCCGAUGAAGGACGGGACUAACACCGAUAUGCUUCGGGGAGCUGUAAGUGAGCUUUGAUCCGGAGAUUUCCGAAUGGGGAAACCCACUGUUCGUAAUGGAACAGUAUCUUUAUCUGAAUACAUAGGAUAUUGAAGGCAGACCCGGGGAACUGAAACAUCUAAGUACCCGGAGGAAGAGAAAGCAAAUGCGAUUUCCUGAGUAGCGGCGAGCGAAACGGAAUUAGCCCAAACCAAGAGGCUUGCCUCUUGGGGUUGUAGGACACUCUAUACGGAGUUACAAAGGAACGAAGUAAAUGAAGCGACCUGGAAAGGUCCGUCAAAGAAGGUAACAACCCUGUAGUUGAAACUUCGUUCCCUCUUGAGUGGAUCCUGAGUACGGCGGAACACGUGAAAUUCCGUCGGAAGCUGGGAGGACCAUCUCCCAAGGCUAAAUACUACCUAGUGACCGAUAGUGAACCAGUACCGUGAGGGAAAGGUGAAAAGCACCCCGGAAGGGGAGUGAAAGAGAUCCUGAAACCGUGUGCCUACAAGUAGUCAGAGCCCGUUAACGGGUGAUGGCGUGCCUUUUGUAGAAUGAACCGGCGAGUUACGAUCCCAUGCAAGGUUAAGCUGAUAAGGCGGAGCCGUAGCGAAAGCGAGUCUGAAUAGGGCGUUUAGUAUGUGGUUGUA
rnacentral:rRNA from 2 species